AUCGCCAAAAAAACUGAAACUUCCGGAUUACCAAGCAUAGGCACUAACUAUCUAUAUGUCUACUGUAUAAAUGGGUGGAAGAAGAGAAAUGCCACCUAGUGUCCCAGAGAUGGGACGUAAUCCAAGGCGUAGCCCAAGUUUCGACUUCGGGGUCUGCACAUUGGUUCGCUCUAGGUGUAUAUCU
rnacentral:snoRNA from 1 species